rnacentral:lncRNA from 1 species
UAUACUCUUGAUACUGACUUGAACUAAAUAUUUAUUUGUUUCAUGUGUCUAAAAGCCAAACUAGUGGAAGGCUCUAUGAUGAAUGGAUUAAACAACAAAGUUUCUGCUCAAAUCAAAAAGGACCUUGUUAAUCACGGACCACCCAAGAAGCAAAAGAAUACUCUGAAGCGUAAAUGGUACAUCAAAUGCAAUUUAUAGGAACUGACAAUGUCAUGAUGUAGAUUUUUUUACCUGUCUUUUAUUUGGCUGAUGUGAGUACUUUAUUAACUAGUGGACGGCUCUAUGAUGAAUGGAUUAAGGAACAAAGUUUCUGCUGAACACAAAACGGACCUUGUUAAUCACAGACCAUCCAAGAAGCAAAAGAUUACUCCAAAGUGUAAGUACUACAUCAAAUGCACAUGAUAUGGAAACUAACAAAACAUGUGACCAUUGUUUUCCUUACUUUCUCACAUUUAGUUUUGUCGAAUUCUAUGUAAAGUGAAAAUGUCAUGAUGCAGUUUUUUGUUUUUACUUGUAUUGUGCUUUACUGAUGUGAGUAUUUUAUUAACUAGUGGACGACUCUAUGAUGAAUGGAUUAAGCAACAAAGUUUAUGCUCAAAUCAAAAAGGAACUUGUUGAUCACGGACCAUCCAAGAAGCAAAAGAAUACUUUGAAGCGUAAGUGCUACAUCAAAUGCAGUUUAUAGGAACUAACAAAACAUGUGACAAUUUUUUCCCAAUUUUCUCACAUUUAUUUUUGGCGAAUUCUAUGUUAACUGACAAUGUCAUGAUGUAGUUUUUUUUACCUGUCUUUUAUUUGGCUGAUGUGAGUACUUUAUUAACUAGUGGACGGCUCUAUGAUGAAUGGAUUAAGGAACAAAGUUUCUGCUGAACACAAAAUGGACCUUGUUAAUCACAGACCAUCCAAGAAGCAAAAGAUUACUCCAAAGUGUAAGUGCUACAUCAAAUGCACAUGCUAUGGAAACUAACAAAAC